CUUGGUCAUUUAGAGGAAGUAAAAGUCGUAACAAGGUUUCCCGUUGACGUAAGUUAAGGAACAAGUGAUUCUUCCACUGAGACACUUACAGAAAGCCUUUGCGGCCCCGAAAGGAGGUUGCUACCACGGACUCAAAAUAUGGUAGCUUUACGCAAGUAGCCUAACCGCUGCAACAUGAUCGAAAUUGCGGGAAAGCCUUAAAGCUCAGCAGUACCAACCCGGCCUGGGAAACCAGGAUGGGGGCCUGUGUUAACCACACAGGGAGGUAAAAAUCUGCUGAGAUGUACUAAAUAGGUAAUUCCGCAAGCGAAGGCCCCUAACGGGCGCAGCCUAUGGGACGGUCACAGACUAAGUGAUAUGGGCAAGACCGAGGGUCUGUUAAUAUGUCGGUCUUCAGAACUGAGGUGAGUCACAGCAUAUACGUCGUGUGAACCAGCGGAAGGAUCCAUUACAGAGAUAUGCCCUUCGGGGUAGACCUCCCACCCUGUAGAAUUUACUCUUGUUGCUUUGGUAGGCCGCCCUCGGGCCCUCGGCACUCCGCUGCUGGGGAGCGCCUGCCAGAGAACCCCAACUCUUGUGUCUAGUGUCGUCUGAGUACUAUAUAAUAAGUUAAAACUUUCAACAACGGAUCUCUUGGUUCUGGCAUCGAUGAAGAACGCAGCGAAAUGCGAUAAGUAAUGUGAAUUGCAGAAUUCAGUGAAUCAUCGAAUCUUUGAACGCACAUUGCGCCCCUUGGUAUUCCGGGGGGCAUGCCUGUUCGAGCGUCAUUUCAACCCUCAAGCCUAGCUUGGUCUUGGGCUCUGCCGGCAACGGCUGGCCUUAAAAUCAGUGGCGGUGCCAUCGAGCUCUACGCGUAGUAAUUAAACCCUCGCGUGUGAGUCCCGGUGGACGCUUGCCAGCAACCCCUAAUUUUCUAUGGUUGACCUCGGAUCAGGUAGGGAUACCCGCUGAACUUAAGCAUAUCAAUAAGCGGAGGA
rnacentral:rRNA from 1 species